rnacentral:rRNA from 1 species
GAUGAACGCUGGCGGCGUGCUUAACACAUGCAAGUCGAACGGUGAACGAGGGAGCUUGCUCCCUCCGGAUCAGUGGCGAACGGGUGAGUAACACGUGAGCAAUCUGCCCCGAACUCUGGGAUAAGCGCUGGAAACGGCGUCUAAUACCGGAUACGACGCGCGAAGGCAUCUUCUGCGCGUGGAAAGAAUUUCGGUUCGGGAUGAGCUCGCGGCCUAUCAGCUAGUUGGUGAGGUAACGGCUCACCAAGGCGACGACGGGUAGCCGGCCUGAGAGGGUGACCGGCCACACUGGGACUGAGACACGGCCCAGACUCCUACGGGAGGCAGCAGUGGGGAAUAUUGCACAAUGGGCGCAAGCCUGAUGCAGCAACGCCGCGUGAGGGACGACGGCCUUCGGGUUGUAAACCUCUUUUAGUAGGGAAGAAGCGAAAGUGACGGUACCUGCAGAAAAAGCACCGGCUAACUACGUGCCAGCCGCCGCAGUAACAC